rnacentral:rRNA from 1 species
CAGGGUAUAGACCCGAAACCCGGUGAUCUAGCCAUGGGCAGGUUGAAGGUUGGGUAACACUAACUGGAGGACCGAACCGACUAAUGUUGAAAAAUUAGCGGAUGACCUGUGGCUGGGGGUGAAAGGCCAAUCAAACCGGGAGAUAGCUGGUUCUCCCCGAAAGCUAUUUAGGUAGCGCCUCGUGAAUUCAUCUCCGGGGGUAGAGCACUGUUUCGGCUAGGGGGCCAUCCCGGCUUACCAACCCGAUGCAAACUGCGAAUACCGGAGAAUGUUAUCACGGGAGACACACGGCGGGUGCUAACGUCCGUCGUGAAGAGGGAAACAACCCAGACCGCCAGCUAAGGUCCCAAAGUCAUGGUUAAGUGGGAAACGAUGUGGGAAGGCCCAGACAGCCAGGAUGUUGGCUUAGAAGCAGCCAUCAUUUAAAGAAAGCGUAAUAGCUCACUGGUCGAGUCGGCCUGCGCG